rnacentral:rRNA from 1 species
GACGAACGCUGGCGGCGUGCUUAACACAUGCAAGUCGAGCGGUAAGGCCCUUUCGGGGGUACACGAGCGGCGAACGGGUGAGUAACACGUGGGUGACCUGCCCUCAGCUCUGGGAUAAGCCUGGGAAACCGGGUCUAAUACUGGAUAUGACUCCAUGACGCAUGUUGUGGGGUGGAAAGCCUUGUGCGGCUGAGGAUGGGCCCGCGGCCUAUCAGCUUGUUGGUGGGGGAUGGCCUACCAAGGCGACGACGGGUAGCCGGCCUGAGAGGGCGACCGGCCACACUGGGACUGAGACAC